GACUUCUGGUUUAAUGCACCUGGCCCGCGGCCCACAAGGCCUGUGAGUGCCGGCGCGCGUUUACCAUCCUUCAACGGCUACCCUUAACUGGGCGGCUGGAACUGGAUCUUUUACUUUGAAAAAAUUAGAGUGUUUAAAGCAGGCGUUUGCUCUGAAUACAUUAGCAUGGAAUAAUAAUCUAGGACUUCGGUUCUAUUUUGUUGGUUUCUAUAACUGAAGCUAGUAUUGGCCGGUCAGAGGUGAAAUUCUUGGAUUCGGUCAAGACUAACUUAUGCGAAAGCAUU
rnacentral:rRNA from 1 species